rfam:Pteropus alecto contig48657, whole genome shotgun sequence.
GGCUCCAUAGUGUAGUGUUUAGCAUGUCUGAUUUACAUGCAGAAGAUCCUGGGUUCGCACCCCAGCUGGAGCCA